GGUGCUCGAGCUGUGGUGCGUGCCGCUAAGUUGUGCGUUCCAGGGUGCACUCGCCGGCGAGGCUGCACGGCGCCGGUUUCAUUGCUAAAAUCCGACGGACUUGUUGCAGAACUCGUUUUUUUUGUCGGGAAAGGGCUUCCCCGUGUAACUUUACAGCAGUUAUCGUAGAUAAGACUUGCAAAUUACAGAUGUGGACGGUGAGGGAACGGGAAUUUCACUGAAAGCGCCUGAGAACCAGUAAGAGACCUGCAACAGCUUUGUGCUCCACUGGCGAAUGCUUCCUCCCCUAAUACACAUUAUGUGUGCUUGGAGACACAAGGAGUAAGAUACAGCCCCUCAAGGGACUCGUCAUAGGGAGAGGACACAGCUUUGGGAAUAAAGGGGCCACAAAGGAGGAGAGAGGAGUUUGCUGAAACUUCCCAAGCUCCCAUUCCAGCAGUUCCUGAAGGAUUCAUUUCUCUCUGAGGAUCUCAUGAGGUGGCUUAGCAGCUAGAAUCUCUUCCUUAACAGUGGGAAGAACAACUCCUGGAAAUUUAGGUCGACUUUGACUGGAUUUAAAAGAAAGCUGUACAAUUCCACUUCUGUAUAUACAACCAAAGGAAAUGAGAUGUGCAUACCCAUGUUCAAUGAAGCAUUAUUCACAAUAGCCAAAAUGUGGAACCAAUCCUUAAACAAAAGGAAAACAGAAAAUCUGCUCAAGUCCCUGCAGGCACCUGAGAAAAUCACAACCCACACUUGCGAACCCCUAGGAGACCUAAAGCUGUGGUUUUACAAAUAAACAGAUAAGUAACAUUCCUACUCUUUCCUAUAGGUACUCAAUCUUCUUAACAACUCCCAUCCCACACAGGUUUGCAUCCCCAGCAGAUACAUAUGGCUAUGUGGUCACCCAUUCGAUCAGCCUAUAAAAGACUUGUCUUAUUUGAUAUUGUGAAACCCAUGGUUAUCAGUGUAUAUGAAAAUGUUUGGUUCAGGGGUCAAUGUACAAUAUGACAAGCAAAGUCCUCUAAUACACAGUUAUAUAAAAUCACUCACCUGAGAGCCAAGUGGACAAUUGGCCUUAUAUUGGCUGGAGUUGGAGCCCCAGAGGGAAAAUUUGCCUAUUAUUAGGCAACUCUUCAAAACUUUACUUAUUCGUUUCUAAACACUGUCUCAUAAAAUGGGGGAUGCUUUAGAUGAAUUAAGAUUAGCACUAGAUUACUUAUUCGUUGAAAAUUAGCACUAGAUUUCUUAUUGGUUGAACAAGGAGGAGUGUGCACCAUAAUCAAUAUAACCUGCUGCAGUUAUGUAAACACCUCAGGUCACAUAGAAGAAGAUAUACAGAAAAUACAUGAACAAGCUGUGUGGUUGCGUAAAUAUAACCAAGGCACCAAUCCCAACUGUAUCUGGUCAGCCAUUAGAAGCACCCUCCUGAGUCUCACUUGGUUGUUGCCCUUCCUAGGAACUUUGAUAGUUGUCUUAUUAUUAAUCUUUGGCCCUUGCUUGUUUAAAUUCUUGGUAAAGUUUGUGUUUUUUAGAUUACAACAAUUCCACAUAAAGAUGAUACUGACACAAAGCUUCCAAUCCAUCCCGUCUUCUGAACCGGGAAAUAAAGACACCCUGCCUUUAGGUGUCUUUAGAUCUAGAUCAGGCAUCUAGAGAUUUUUACUCCUCCAAUACUUGGCAGGGUCUAUGCCCGUAGACUCAUCAGGAUACCAUGUAAAUGAGGACCUCCCUUGGUACCCCAGAGGCCAACUGUAGACCCUUAUGAGAAAAUCCUGUCCCCAAAAUGAACAUCCACUGUCAGCAGGAAGAAGUUACAGAAGACCAGCCUUUGCCCUUACGAUUAAGGGUCCUCUUGUAAGUAGAGAGGGGAAUGUUAGGAAAGCAGGAGCCUAGGUGAUCCAGAGUGACACCAUUUUAAAAUAAACUCCACCUGAAAACUAGCAAGGCAUCUGCACACAUCUGUUUAGCAAGUAUAUACUUCUGUAACUGGAAUAAAAAGCGUUAUUUUAGAAUAUGCCUAUAGUUUGUAAUAAUUAGCCGAGGGAAAAAAAGUUCACAUUGGUGUAGGAAAAGUGCCCUAAUGGUCAUGGGUAAUAAUGGGACCGUGGUUCUGGUCAGUGAUUUGAUGGAAGGGGUGUAGAUAAUAUAUUGUUGUAAAUAAUAAAAAUAAAAAAUUGUUGUAAGUAAUAAAAAUAAAAUAAUAUUGUUGUAAGUAAUAAAGUAGGAGAAAUAUUUGGUCUUUUGCUUUUGGGUUAGUGCAACAGUAGUACCAUUACUUGGAGGAGAAGUUAGAGAAGGACAAGAAUAGGCUUGAAUAAGAUGAGUGAGAAGAGAGAAAAAUUCCGUAAGUGGAGAUGGCCAGGGAACACCAGGGCAGCAGAAUCUAACUCUGAAUUUAAUGCUGUUGUCUGUUCAUAUUGCACUGCGCUGUAAUCUCCCUAUCUUUCCUAAACCAUUGGCAAAGUCUGCUAUCCACUGGGGCCUUGGGUCGGUGGUGCUUUGGGAAAUACCAGAAGAGGGAAAGUACGGCAAAUGUGCAGUGUCACAGAUGAUAGGAGGAAAGCUGGCCAGUGGGAUGAUUAAAACAAUUUCGGUGGGAGUGGGAAUUCAGACCAUGUAAAUGGUCUGAAUUAAGAAAAUUUCAAGAAACAAAAAAUGUUUCUAAUGAGCCAAAGUGAAAGCUCUUCAUGAUUUCUUUAUAGAGGCUCUCUAGUGCUUGUCCUAAUUUCCUGAAAUCUCAUGGGUAUCUUACUCUCCUGGUGCCCGCCUCAAACAUUCACUGUAGCAAUUAUAUGAGCAGCCUAGAGAAUCCCAAUCCCAGUGGUCUUGCUCCCUGGAUCUACUUUCUCUUAAAAAUCAUUCCCCUAAGUUUCCGUCACUUGGUUGAAGUUUAGUAGAUAUCUCCACAUCUCCAGCUAGAACAGCACCAGAAUUUCAGGACUAGGGCAAUAGAGUCUGAUAUUAAAUUCUAUUUCUAUCUAUCUAUCUAUCAUCUAUCUAUCUAUCUAUCUAUCUAUCUAUCUAUCUAUCUAUCUAUCUACAGAACAAUUUGUGGGAUAGUAGCUUUGGGGUCCCAGAUCUAGGAUGGGCCUGGUCCUCCAUGCUGGUUCUCCUGGGUGAUAUUUCUGUUAGUUUGAACAGUAAUCACACUUUUAUUACUGUUUCAUCUUUUUUUUUUCACUCUUAGACUGAUUUUAUCAUGUGUAUAAAACAUACACACACCUACAUCUCAAGGAUAAACAUUAAUCCUUGAAAAAUAUGUGGUCUAAAACUAUAUUGAGGAGAGAAAGAUAGGACACUUUAAUUGCCACAUGAUUAACACGAGGUCACCACACAGCUUUCACAAAUCUACAAGUCAUUCUAUUUAGGCUGAGUCAAGUUCUCCCUUGGGCCAGCCAGAGCACAAAUAAUGGAGCAAUGUGACUCUUCAAUGACAGAUCUCUGAUUUCCAGAAAAGAGACUUUGAAAUACCCAAUUCUAGUAAAUAUGCAAUUAAAUUUCCAGCUAAAUGACCUUUGCUCCUGUAGUCUUCAUCUUGGGGAAGGGAAAGAAGUCUUAUUCUGUUUAAUAGUUUGAUUUUUAUAAUAGGGUUUGUCUCUGUUAUAAAUCUUGUUUGAUAUUUAAAAUGUUAGCUAAGAGAAAACUUCUGUUUGUUUUUAUUUAGUGGGAAGAAACUAACCCUCAUUGAGUGCCUAGUUAACAUCAGGCACUUUGUACACAUAAUCAAUUGAAUCUUGACCACAACCCUGUGAGAUCCAUGGAUGAUUCUGGGUUUAGUUCUUUGUGAGACUGCCAGAAACUCCCAGAGGCUGGAUCUAUGCAUAAAGAGAGGCCAUUGGAGAGAAUGUCUACUGAAUUGCUGAAGACAAUUGCUACCGAGAAUAGAUCGUAACUUAGGAAGAAACAAUUCAGUACCAAAAGAGUAAUUGGAGCCCUUCUGGAAAACACUAGUAAGGUGAAAAAUGAGAAGAUUAAAUAAGCCAUGGGAAGAUUUUUUAAAAUGACAUGAAACUCCAAGGGUAAAAAGUAGGCUGGGAAAUCUUAGGAUGGUGAACCAUCAUGUUUCCUGAAUGUGAAUCCUGUACCUGGUUUGACUGUAGUCACCCCUUCUCCAACACUCUCCACGAUGCCGGCUGCCUCAUGGCCUAAAAUCACAGGAAGUGGGGUCACCAUGGUACCACUAACCACGUGGUCAUCUGUGCCACAGAUUCCUACAGCCACCAUCUACAGAGUGAAGAGAAGAUGUUUAUAAAAGAUUGAUGUUCAACAUGAUCAAUGCCAAAUAAAUAUCAGAAUACUUGGAAGUAAAGUACUAAUAGUAGGAGUUCCUGAUUAUCAGGUGCCUAUGAUGUGACAGGCACAUUGUGGCCUGUGCUCGACCAGGAGACUGCUUUUCCAGGCUGAGAUCAAAGACGGAGAUGUGCCUACCCGCAGAUCCUAGAUGGCCAUGUUUGCAACAGAGGUAAUGAUGAGCAGUGCGAAGAUGUGACUCCAAAGCCUGGAGAAGGACAGACCAGCAUCCCUGCAAGAGAUCCAACUGUCUUCUUUUCCGCAGAGGUCCAUAAUUUACAUGGGCCUGACAAAGAAUACUGUAACUUGCAGAAAUUAUCUUCAGUUCAAAUCCUUCAUUUUGGGGGUUAAAUAACUUGGUAAGAUAAUGAGAUUAAUAUUAUUGUAAAGAUUGCUAGAAAGAAUUGUAACAGUUCAUGUAUGUGCAUAAAUAACAACCUUAAAGCAUGUUUUGGGAUGAGGUGCAAAAUGAAAAUUGGGAGAGGGACUUUAGUAGCAGUAAACAGAACUUGAGAAUGGAAUAGAUGCAUACUCUAUAGCACACUGCAAUAAAUAGAAUACAUUUUAAGUUCCUAGAGAAAUUUUUGAAAAUGCCACAUUCAAAGCCAUCAAUCCCUACUCAAUUAGCAUUUCAUUUUGAUUUUGGUACUGAAGCCCAAGAUGUCGAGGGAGCGGAAAUACUUGCUGGUCUUGCAGCGGCUGUGGAGCCUGGAAUCCUGCCAAGAAGAGCAUGUGUGAGAGAUCAAAAUGUUUGCUUACAUUCCUCCUGUGAAGGGAGUUGGGAAAUAACCUAAGAAGCCCAAUCCAAAAACAAAGAUGUACCAUCCAGUCUUCUCUGUGAGAACCAAACUACAAACCAUCUGAAUGUUCCAAAAGUGUUUUGAUGAUGUAUUGAUGUAUUUUAAAUUAUCCUGAAAAUGUUCUUGGCAGAUGCUUAAACAUGUAAUUACUGAGAUGAUGUAGAAAUACCAAGUGUUUAUUAAAACAAUACAGAGUAAUACAAAUGGUAUGUUUGUCGCAAUAUAAAAGUAUCUAAAAAUUAAAGAGUUCUUUAAUGGUGGAGAUUGUUUUCCUUUUUGAAGUUAAAAUAUAAAUUUUUGUAAAAAGCACAAAUUAUUACUAUUUAUAGCUAACAUUUAUGGAGUGCUGACUAUGCUCAUUUUUGAGCAUACAUUGCCUCAUUUAGUGCAAUGUUUAGCAUUAACUUAUGAGGUAAAUGCCAUUGCCAUGCACAUUGUACAGAUGAAGACAUUGAGGUUUAGAGAGAUUGCAU
rnacentral:lncRNA from 10 species